GAUGAACGCUGGCGGCGUGCCUAAUACAUGCAAGUCGAGCGAACAGACGAGGAGCUUGCUCCUCUGACGUUAGCGGCGGACGGGUGAGUAACACGUGGAUAACCUACCUAUAAGACUGGGAUAACUUCGGGAAACCGGAGCUAAUACCGGAUAAUAUAUUGAACCGCAUGGUUCAAUAGUGAAAGACGGUUUUGCCGUCACUUAUAGAUGGAUCCGCGCCGCAUUAGCUAGUUGGUAAGGUAACGGCUUACCAAGGCAACGAUGCGUAGCCGACCUGAGAGGGUGAUCGGCCACACUGGAACUGAGACACGGUCCAGACUCCUACGGGAGGCAGCAGUAGGGAAUCUUCCGCAAUGGGCGAAAGCCUGACGGAGCAACGCCGCGUGAGUGAUGAAGGUCUUCGGAUCGUAAAACUCUGUUAUUAGGGAAGAACAAAUGUGUAAGUAACUAUGCACGUCUUGACGGUACCUAAUCAGAAAGCCACGGCUAACUACGUG
rnacentral:rRNA from 1 species